rnacentral:rRNA from 1 species
AGUGAACGCUGGCGGCAGGCCUAACACAUGCAAGUCGAACGGCAGCACAGUAAGAGCUUGCUCUUACGGGUGGCGCGUGGCGGAAGGGGGCGGAAUACACCGGAAUAUACUCUUUAGGGGGGGCUAACGCAGGGAAACGUACGCUAAUACAGCAUACGUCCUACGGGUGAAAGCAGGGGAUCUUCGGACCUGGCGCGAUUGAAAGAGCCGAUGUAGGAGUAGCUCGUUUGCGGGGUAGAGGCCAACAAAGGCGACGAUGCGUAGCUGCUCUGAGAGCGAGAUCCCCCACACGGGAUCUGAGACUCGGCCCAGACUCCUACGGGGGGCCGCAGUGGGGAAUCUUAGGCGAUGGGCGCGAGGCUGAUCCAGCCAUACCGCGUGGGUCAAGAAGGCCUUCUGCUUGUAAAGCCCUUAUGUUCUUAGAGAAAAGCAGCUGUUUUAUACCCCGCGGUUCUGACGGUACCCAAAGAAUAAGCACCGGCUAACUUCGUG